GGGUGCGAUCAUACCAGCUCUAAUGCAUCGGAUCCCAUUGGAACUCUGAAGUUAAGCGUGCUUGGACAAUGUGUAGUAGUUUUAUACAUACCAGCUCUGCGAGUAAAUUUUGGUUCGUAUCCA
rnacentral:rRNA from 1 species